AUUGAACGCUGGCGGCAUGCCUUACACAUGCAAGUCGAACGGUAACAGGUCUUCGGAUGCUGACGAGUGGCGAACGGGUGAGUAAUACAUCGGAACGUGCCCGAGAGUGGGGGAUAACGCAGCGAAAGCUGUGCUAAUACCGCAUACGAUCUACGGAUGAAAGCAGGGGAUUCGCAAGAACCUUGCGCUCAUGGAGCGGCCGAUGGCAGAUUAGGUAGUUGGUGGGAUAAAAGCUUACCCAAGCCGACGAUCUGUAGCUGGUCUGAGAGGACGACCAGCCACACUGGGACUGAGACACGGCCCAGACUCCUACGGGAGGCAGCAGUGGGGAAUUUUGGACAAUGGGGGAAACCCUGAUCCAGCCAUGCCGCGUGCAGGAUGAAGGCCUUCGGGUUGUAAACUGCUUUUGUACGGAACGAAAAGGUCUUUUCUAAUAAAGAAGGCCCAUGACGGUACCGUAAGAAUAAGCACCGGCUAACUACGUG
rnacentral:rRNA from 1 species